GCCAGCCCUGGUGACCCUGCCAGGGACCGUAGUGUAUCCCAUGCCUGUUUUAUCUCCAAGCAAAGCUUGAUUUUGCUUGUUAGUGUGGAAUAAAUACAAGUGUAGUAAAAUGGACAAUUAAAUUGGUCACUUUGGAGGAUAUGCUCAUGGUUUCGCAUGUCAGUCCUGUACCUCGUGCUCCCAAGGCUUGUCUCUCAUCAUGAAAUAUUUUAAUAAAAAAACUCAGAUCCUAUGUUGUAUCUGAAUAAAAUUGCAUCAGCUCAUCAAGAAAUCUGCUGACAGGAACAAGACAAAAGCCUUCUGACUUUCACUUUCAGCUGUCCUGGAUUUCUGCAGCUCUUUGAAUAGCUGCUGUAGCUGGAGUGUUUGGAGUUGGUUUGGGCCUUUAUGAGAGAUAUGUAGAAUAGUCUGCAGGGCUCUCCUAGCAGAAAACUGUUUGUCCAAGCCCAUGGACAUUAUGCCAACAGAAGCAGAGCAGCCCCACUCCCAGCCCGAGAGUCUGUGCACUGAGCCACACCCAGGAGAAAAGACACAGAGGGGAUCCAGCCUAGCUGUUUCACCUGCCAUAAAUGUUCCAUGGAGCUCUGCCAUUGGGAGAAAGUCGAUACUAGAUGAGCCACUGAACUUUCAUCUGCUAUCAUAGAAAUACUCCGUGCUUGCUCCUGAUCUUCCCGAGAGAAAACCCGGCACCAACUUGUAACACGUGUCAUGGGGGGAUUAUCCUCUGGUAUUUUGGGUCUUUGUUCCAGUGGGGGGACGGUGAGGUCUGGCAGUUUGAUAUCUAGAAGUUACUGGCCUUUUUUCUUGCUUUGUAGGCAUUCUGCUGUUAAUAAACUGUUUGGUUUCUUCCCAACAGUUGUAGACUUUUUCUAACAGAUAUAGGUAACAACUUGUUACACAAUACAUUGUGUUGUUAGACCUAAUUAGCUGGCGGGAUACAACUGGUGCUAAAUACAGAAAGUCACAUCCAACAAUCUUAACAAAAUGACAAACAUAAAAGUUAGAAUGAUUAUUACUGAGUAAAGUUAUAUUAUCUUUGUCUAUUUCUAUGAAAGCACACAAAGUCCUCAAACACACACAGCCCUUACCAAUAUAUAGAAGUAUAUAUUUUUUGACUAGUAACUGGGUGAAACUCGAAAUGACAAAUGCUUUGCUCAGUAUCAAGACAUCAAUUGUGCAUCAAUUAUGUUGGUUUUACAAAUAAACCCUUGUUGUUUCCAGGUAACACAGGAUUCUAGAUUCACAAUUUGUCAUUUCUCAUCCCCUCUCCAUGUCCAUGUGCUCUAUUCCAAAGUAUAGAGCUCUCUUGAUUGAAUCCUAAUGCUCUAAUGGGGGGAAUAACAUAAACUGUGACAUUGCUUAUAGUGAGUACAAAGGCAGUAGCCAUGCUAGCAAUAGGAUCAUAAAUAAAAUUUACCCAGACAGCUUUUGGAAUUUCAGUUGGAAAGGCUCCUUCACUUCCUUCUCUUAUAAUUAAGGCAGCUGUUGAUUGCAACUAUAAUUGUGCCUGAAUACAGCUAAAAACCAAAGAUAUAUCACUGAGCCAUAGCAAGUGCAUCUAUGAUUAACCCAUGGUCUUUGUCUUUAGCUUUUUCCCAACUGGGUAACACUUUUGAAACCUGCCACUGACUGGUUCCCAAUGCCAACAAAGAUGAUUGUCUGGGAUGUUUUAAUUUUGUUAGCCUACUUGUAGCAGUGGUCAAUUUAUUCAUUAAUAUUUCUGAACCAAUUCUGUUUAGAACUCCCAGCCCUGUCCCUAAUAUUCCAGUCAGAUCCCUUUGCACUCUGCCCCUGGUGUGUGCUGGCCCUUGCAACCAUGUCAUCCAACCC
rnacentral:lncRNA from 1 species